GAAGAUCAUCCACUACGAUCAAGUAGGUUUCAUCCCAGGAAUGCAAGAAUGGUUUAACAUCCGUAAAUCUAUCAACAUAAUACACAACAUAAACAACAAGAAAAAUAAAAAUCACAUGGUCAUAUCAAUAGAUGCAGAGAAAGCAUUUGAUAAGGUCCAACACCCAUUCUUGAUCAAAACUCUCAGCAAGAUGGGAAUGGAAGGAACCUUUCUCAAUAUAGUUAAGGCCAUCUACCACAAGCCAGUGGCAAAUAUUAUCCUCAAUGGAGAAAAACUAAAAGCCUUCCCUCUAAAUUCUGGCACAAGACAAGGCUGUCCUCUCUCACCACUCCUAUUCAACA